rnacentral:misc_RNA from 1 species
CCACCAGCACCAGGAACCAAUAAUGGAGGUGCCUCAGCCUCAUCAGGAUCAACGCUCUAGAUCUUCCAGACCCCUCACCAUUCAUGCCUGCGCCCAGUCUGGAGAUCUUCUUGGCUUUCAGAAGCUGCUGCGGGCCAAUCCUGCUCUUCUCAAUGAAAGAAAUCCUGUUAUGGCACAGACACCACUGCAUGUUUCUGCUGGUAACAACAGGGCCGAGAUAGUGAAAUUCCUACUUGACUGGGGAGGGGUGGAGAAAGUUGAAUUGGAAGCCAAGAACAUGUAUGGAGAAACUCCGUUACACAUGGCAGCAAAGAAUGGUUGCAAUGAUGCUGCACGAUUACUUCUUGCCCAUGGUGCUUUUGUUGAAGCCAAAGCUAAUAAUGGGAUGACACCGUUACACCUUGCUGUUUGGUACUCAAUCAGAUCAGAAGACUGCUCAACUGUCAAGACAUUGCUUGAGUAUAAUGCUGAUUGCAGUGCUAAGGACAAUGAGGGCAUGGCUCCUAUUAAUCAUGUCUCGCGAGGUCCAGGAAGUGCAAAGUUGCGUGAACUAUUACAAUGGCAUAUGGAAGAGCAGAGAAAGAAAAGAGCACUUGACGCAUGUGGUGAAACAAAAGCUAAGAUGGAGGAACUUGAAAAUGAAUUAUCUAACGUAGUGGGGUUAAAUAAGCUUAAGGUUCAAUUAAGAAAAUGGGCAAAGGGGAUGCUUUUGGAUGAGAGGCGCAGGGCCCUUGGGCUAAAAGUGGGUGUGAGAAGACCUCCUCAUAUGGCUUUCUUGGGAAAUCCUGGAACAGGUAAUUGGUGGCCAGAUUGUAUCAUGAUCUUAUGUGUCAUUAAUGCUCGCGUUUGUUCACUAAUUAAAAAAAAAAGGCAAUAAAAUUCUCCUCACUUUUACCAUGCCAUUGGCUCAAUUAUUUAUUGUCGGUCUCUCUUAUAACAUUUGAGUGUUGUUUUUAAAACUCAACUCACCUAAGCUUAAUUUCAAUCUGUUUUCAUGGAUUCCUUCCUUCCUGAUAGCUGGUUAAGAAACUAGCAGACAAGUAUUUUAUCAGUUACUGUUUUGGAAUCCCAACCUUCCAUCCUGGCUGAAUUGAAUAAUUGGUUUCCUUUUGUGAACAUUCAUUGUUUUUGGGGUCAUAUUUAUUGUUAAACCAUAGUCCAAACUGUCUUUUCCAGAUUAUAAUCCCUUUGGUUCUAACAUGUUUUUCAGUGUUGGUGCUACAUGUACCUUCUAACAGUCUGUUGCUAGCUAGCUAGCUUUCUGUGUGUGAUGCUACAAGGUGCACUUACAUUCAAUGAUAUUCUUCUCAUGACAAAACAAGACUUCUAUGGUUCUAUUUAUUACAUAAAUAUGUGGAUUUGUUUCUUUCGUUUCUCAACCUUGAUUGGUUUAUUUUUCAAUUGUAUGAUCUGAGUCUUUAUUGAGAAGAGUGGAUGUGAAUCACUAGAAAAAAAAAAAUCCAGUGGACUAAUCGUCUUUCAAAUAUCUUGUGAGGAGACAAUUUUUUUGUUUAUUCAAAAUACCUCAUUGAUUAAGUUGUAGAGGGUGUGUCAUAUAUUUGUAUCUUUCAGGUAAGACUAUGGUAGCUCGAAUACUUGGAAGAUUACUUCAUCUUGUGGGAAUCCUACCCACUGAUAGGGUAACAGAAGUUCAACGUACGGAUUUGGUUGGUGAAUUUGUUGGUCAUACUGGACCAAAGACUAGGAGGAAGAUUAAAGAAGCAGAGGGAGGAAUUCUUUUUGUGGACGAAGCAUAUCGGCUAAUACCCAUGCAGAAAGCAGAUGAUAAAGACUAUGGAUUAGAAGCCUUGGAAGAGAUCAUGUCUGUUAUGGACAGUGGAAAAGUUGUUGUCAUAUUUGCUGGGUACAGUGAACCAAUGAAGCGUGUGAUAGCUUCUAAUGAGGGCUUUUGUAGAAGGGUUACAAAGUUUUUCCAUUUUGAUGACUUCACUUCAGAAGAUUUAGCCAAGAUCGCCCAUGUUAAGAUGAAUAAUCAACAAGAGGAAGGUUUGUUAUAUGGAUUUAAUUUACACUCUAAAUGCAAUAUUCAUGCCAUUGCAACAGUGAUAGAGAAAGAAACAACAGAAAAGCAACGUAGGGAGAUGAAUGGAGGUUUAGUAGAUACAAUGCUGGUUAAUGCUAGAGAGAAUUUGGACUUCAGGCUGGAUUUUGAUUGUAUAGAUGUUGAUGAACUACGUACCAUCACCUUGGAAGAUUUGGAAGCUGGGCUUCGGCUGUUAUCACAAUCAUGAGGAGCAGGAAAUAAUGAGAAGGACAAUUGGUGAUGAUAAUUUUUGGAAAUCAGCUGUUGUAUUUUAUUGUUUCCAGAGGUUUUUCUCUUGUGUGACUGCAAUUGGAUAGUAUUCCCAUUAUUAGAGGGUUUAUGCUCAAUGUUCUUUAUUUGUAUAUACGGCUUCCUGCUAGUUGAAUGUCGAUGGAAAUGGAUGUCCUUUCCAUAAUUUUUUCCCUGCAUUUUGAUUGUUUCAUUUGUGGAUAGCAAGUUAGCAACAUACUUCUUGUAAACUAUGGCUUUGCCACGAUAAGUUUUAUAGCAAUUCCUU